rnacentral:lncRNA from 1 species
CUAUAUUGUUCACCUUUAAUUCUUUUCUUGAAGUUAGCAUAAAUGUGCCUAGCACAUUAUAUAUGCUCUGCUGCUGGAACCCUUUCAAUCUGUGUAAGAUUAAGGAAACUUAAUGCAAGAAAGAUAUUUCCAAGGAGUUGAUCUCAACAUAAGGAAAUUCUGUAUACGGGUCCAUUAUUUGCGUUCUAAAAUUCGAUUAUGAUUACGGCAUCCCUUUUCAUAAUCUGAAUUAUGAGAACUUGGCAAAUAGAAAUGUAAAUGUUAUAGCAAAAGACUGGUUUAGUCUUUAUGUGAGACAUCAUGAAUCGUGUCCCAUAUGCUUCGGAUAUAGGAUCGAUUACAUGUGCUAUAUUCAUCCUUUCUAAAAUUUUCCAAAUGCCUGGGGCAUUAAGAAGGGAAAAGGUUUAGAACUGGAUAUGACUAAAAGGAUUAAACAAUUGUCGAGGNUUUCUCUUUUUUACAUUUUUUAGCUUUCUUCUUUUUUGGCCUUGAAGUGGAUGCUACAUCUUCUGAUCUUGUAGGACAUGUUGAUCUGUUGUGGCCAUUUUCUCUACAAAUGGUGCAUCUCAUAACUACACCUGCUUUUGAGAUAGUAUACCUUGUUUUCCCCUUGCUUUCCCUCUCAGAUUGAUCCCUUUUCCUUUUAAGGGUUGGUCUUCUUGGUAACCUUCUUUUUUUUAGGGAGGAAAUGGCUUCAUGUAGGGAACUUCAGGCCACAUGGAACUACCAUUAAGUGGACUAAUGGUAUGGUUGUUUCAAAUCAAGAACAUGGCUGUAUGGAACCAUGGUGCAACAUAAUCCUCUGCAUUCCUGUUGAGGUAUGAAAUAGUUGCCACUACAUGCACACAUGGGAUACCUGAUACUUGCCAAGAUCUACAUCCACAUGUCUUGUUGGUAAGGUUCACAACAUAUCCAUCAUUUCCAAGCCUAACCUUAUAUUUUUGUAUCCCAGAAGGUAUAACUCCCCAAAAUAUUUCCAUAAAAAUAACAAGUUCUAUUAAUCUUAUAAAUGGGAUAAUAAUACUUAUAAAAUGGAAGUUAUAGCAUACCUUUGAUGUUUCUUUAACUUCGAUAUCUUUAAUAUUAUAGAUGGGCAUAUUUUUAAAUUACCCCAACUUUGUCCCUCUAGCAAAAUUUUAUACAUCAUCUUCAUUGCAUAAAUCUGAAUCUCUUCCAACAUGGUGAGGAAUGGUCUCUUCCUAGCAAGAUCAAUAACAGAGUUGGAACUUUCUGAUAUGCCAUUCUCAAAAGCAUCACAAUCCUUAACCACUUUAAAGAAUGUCCUGUACCAACUUUUAGGGUCCCUUUCCAUGAGGUGUUUAUAAACCAAAGGGUCAUUUUUUUUAUAGAAUUCAUUUCCGCCUCAAAUUUAGGAUGAGUAGUACUAGCAGCAGUAGCCCAAAACAACUUCCUAUAUUGUUCACCUUUAAUUCUUUUCUUGAAGUUAGCAUAAAUGUGCCUAGCACAUUAUAUAUGCUCUGCUGCUGGAACCCUUUCAAUCUGUGUAAGAUUAAGGAAACUUAAUGCAAGAAAGAUAUUUCCAAGGAGUUGAUCUCAACAUAAGGAAAUUCUGUAUACGGGUCCAUUAUUUGCGUUCUAAAAUUCGAUUAUGAUUACGGCAUCCCUUUUCAUAAUCUGAAUUAUGAGAACUUGGCAAAUAGAAAUGUAAAUGUUAUAGCAAAAGACUGGUUUAGUCUUUAUGUGAGACAUCAUGAAUCGUGUCCCAUAUGCUUCGGAUAUAGGAUCGAUUACAUGUGCUAUAUUCAUCCUUUCUAAAAUUUUCCAAAUGCCUGGGGCAUUAAGAAGGGAAAAGGUUUAGAACUGGGUAUGACUAAAAGGAUUAAACAAUUGUCGAGGACAAUCUAAGGUUUACCAAAUAUUGCUUGCUCAAGGAUAGUUGGAAGUAUAUUGAUAAUUCUGGAAGGACCAUAUUGACAUAAUCUAUAAGGAGGCAACUCUUUUUCAGAAGUGAUAGUCAAAAUGGAAUCUGGAAAUGUUUCAAAGUUAGAAUUUUCAAUCUGUGUAAGAUUAAGGAAACUUAAUGCAAGAAGGAUAUUUCCAAGGAGUUGAUCUCCUUUGGAAUACUCUGUAAUGAUUGUUGCCAAGUCUUUGUGACUUUGUGCAUAAUC